AGAUGAGAGAAACACCCCGCUCGCAGGGGACUGCGGGCAACCCCAGGGCGGAGCGUCCCCAGCGCCGCUUUGGUCGUGCCUUCGCGCACACCACUGGAGCUUCGGGCUCCAGGCAUCCUCAUGGAUCGGA
rnacentral:ncRNA from 1 species